ensembl:rRNA 5S_rRNA 5S ribosomal RNA
CACAGCCAUAUCACCCUGCAGCCCAAGACUGGUUGCCCACUGAAACUAAGUAGGGUUGAGCCUGGUCAGUACCUGGAUGGGAGACCUCCUGGGAAAACGUCUCCAGGUUACGAAUGUAA